GGGUUGGUGGUGUAAUGGCUACCAUUUCUGCUUCAUAAGCAGAAGGUCAUGGGUUCAAUCUUAGGUCCGCCCCU
rnacentral:tRNA from 1 species